UUUACAAGUGCACUCUAGGCAGACUGCCGCAGAUAAUGCGGAGGAAGGUGGGGAUGGCGUCAAAUCAUCAUGCCCCUUACGUCCCGGGCUACACACGUGCUACAAUGGCCUGUACAGAGGGUAGCGAAAGAGCGAUCUUAAGCCAAUCCCAAAAAGCAGGCCCCAGUUCGGAUUGGAGGCUGCAACUCGCCUCCAUGAAGUAGGAAUCGCUAGUAAUCGCGGAUCAGCAUGCCGCGGUGAAUACGUUCCCGGGCCUUGUACACACCGCCCGUCACACCACGAAAGUUGGCGAUACCUGAAGUUACUAGGCUAACCCCGUAAGGGGAGGCAGGUACCGAAGGUAUGGCUGGUGAUUGGGGUGAAGUCGUAACAAGGUAGCC
rnacentral:rRNA from 1 species